rnacentral:rRNA from 1 species
CCAUGUGACGUUACCAAACUGUUGCCUCGGCGGGGUCACGCCCCGGGUGCGUCGCAGCCCCGGAACCAGGCGCCCGCCGGAGGAACCAACCAAACUCUUUCUGUAGUCCCCUCGCGGACGUAUUUCUUUACAGCUCUGAGCAAAAAUUCAAAAUGAAUCAAAACUUUCAACAACGGAUCUCUUGGUUCUGGCAUCGAUGAAGAACGCAGCGAAAUGCGAUAAGUAAUGUGAAUUGCAGAAUUCAGUGAAUCAUCGAAUCUUUGAACGCACAUUGCGCCCGCCAGUAUUCUGGCGGGCAUGCCUGUCCGAGCGUCAUUUCAACCCUCGAACCCCUCCGGGGGAUCGGCGUUGGGGAUCGGGACCCCUCACACGGGUGCCGGCCCCUAAAUACAGUGGCGGUCUCGCCGCAGCCUCUCCUGCGCAGUAGUUUGCACAACUCGCACCGGGAGCGCGGCGCGUCCACGUCCGUAAAACACCCAACUUUCUGAAAUGUUGACCUCGGAUCAGGUAGGAAUACCCGCUGAACUUAAGCAUAUCAA